AGCAGCCGCGGUAAUUCCAGCUCCAAUAGCGUAUAUUAAAGUUGUUGCAGUUAAAAAGCUCGUAGUUGAAUUUCGGGAUCAAAUUGUCGGUCGUGCCUCGGUACGUACUGGUAUUAUUGGUUCCUCCCUUCUGACGAGCCACGAUGUCAUUAAUUUGGUGUCAUGGGAAAUCAGGACUGUUACUUUGAAAAAUUAGAGUGUUUAAAGCAGGCUCGCGCUUGAAUACAUUAGCAUGGAAUAAUGAAAUAGGACGUUUGAUUCUAUUUUGUUGGUUUCUAGGAUCGACGUAAUGAUUAAUAGGGAUAGUUGGGGGCAUUAGUAUUCAAUUGUCAGAGGUGAAAUUCUUGGAUUUAUUGAAGACUAACUGCUGCGAAAGCAUUUGCCAAGGAUGUUUUCAUUAAUCAAGAACGAAAGUUAGGGGAUCGAAGACGAUCAGGUACCGUCGUAGUC
rnacentral:rRNA from 1 species